rnacentral:rRNA from 1 species
UAGGGAAUCUUCGGGCAAUGGGCGAAAGCCUGACCGAGCAACGCCGCGUGAAUGAUGAAGGCCUUCGGGUUGUAAAUUCUGUUAUAAGGGAAGAACGACUUUAGUAGGAAAUGGCUAGAGUGUGACGGUACCUUAUGAGAAAGCCACGGCUAACUACGUGCCAGCAGCCGCGGUAAUACGUAGGUGGCGAGCGUUAUCCGGAAUUAUUGGGCGUAAAGAGCGCGCAGGUGGUUGAUUAAGUCUGAUGUGAAAGCCCACGGCUUAACCGUGGAGGGUCAUUGGAAACUGGUCGACUUGAGUGCAGAAGAGGGAAGUGGAAUUCCAUGUGUAGCGGUGAAAUGCGUAGAGAUAUGGAGGAACACCAGUGGCGAAGGCGGCUUCCUGGUCUGUAACUGACACUGAGGCGCGAAAGCGUGGGGA